rnacentral:rRNA from 1 species
UACGGAGGGUGCGAGCGUUGUUCGGAAUCAUUGGGCGUAAAGCGCAUGUAGGCGGCUAAGUAAGUCUGAUGUGAAAUCCCGGGGCUCAACCCCGGAACUGCGUUGGAUACUGCUUAGCUAGAGGGUGAGAGAGGAGAGUGGAAUUCCUGGUGUAGGGGUGAAAUCCGUAGAUAUCAGGAGGAACAUCGGAGGCGAAGGCGGCUCUCUGGCUCAUUUCUGACGCUGAGAUGAGAAAGCGUGGGGAGCAAACAGG